GAUGAACGCUGGCGGCGUGCCUAAUACAUGCAAGUCGAGCGAACAGACGAGGAGCUUGCUCCUCUGACGUUAGCGGCGGACGGGUGAGUAACACGUGGAUAACCUACCUAUAAGACUGGGAUAACUUCGGGAAACCGGAGCUAAUACCGGAUAAUAUAUUGAACCGCAUGGUUCAAUAGUGAAAGACGGUUUUGCUGUCACUUAUAGAUGGAUCCGCGCCGCAUUAGCUAGUUGGUAAGGUAACGGCUUACCAAGGCGACGAUCCGUAACUGGUCUGAGAGGAUGAUCAGUCACACUGGAACUGAGACACGGUCCAGACUCCUACGGGAGGCAGCAGUGGGGAAUAUUGGACAAUGGGCGAAAGCCUGAUCCAGCCAUGCCGCGUGUGUGAAGAAGGUCUUCGGAUUGUAAAGCACUUUAAGUUGGGAGGAAGGGCAGUAAGUUAAUACCUUGCUGUUUUGACGUUACCAACAGAAUAAGCACCGGCUAACUUCGUG
rnacentral:rRNA from 1 species